CAUGGGCCUCCAGGGAAUUAACUUACAGCACUGCAGCUAGCUUUUUCCAGGGAACAUUCCAGAGAAAGCUGGAGCAGGUACCCACCCCAGAAAUUCCUGUCCUCCGUUCCUAGUGUGCAGUGUCCGAUCCACAUGGUUUUGUGAAUUCCUCGUUUCAAAUGGAAGAGUAACUGAACACUGUCCCAUCAUCUUGGCCGGAAGUGGAGUCAAGUGAAAUGGUAAACUCUGCCAUGAUAUGAAUGACAGCAAUGUGUCAUGGAAAAGGAAGAGGCCACGGAAGGAUCUGCAGAUGCUAUGUUCUGCCUCGUUCUAAACAGAUACUUUAAGAGCAAUGGCACCUGGGUACUUUACCCCUAAGGAAAGCAACGAAACACCUCAGUGAUAUUACAGCUUAAACAUGUCCAGCAAGCCACUCAAGUAGCUGCCCUGUGUCCCGGAGGCUGCUCAGAGGUAUUGCUAACGUCAGUCCGCUCGUGUGAGAACCCCCUUGCCCUUCCAAGUCGUUUGCGUAAGGAACAUCUCCAGAUGUGGCCAAAUACCCCUGAUAGGCAAGGACGACACAUUAGUCGGAAACACCUUCCCCACAUCCACAUGAACAGAAUGUGGAGAUUCAUAACAAGCAAGGACAGGUAAAAGGAUUUUUAAGGGGUUGGGGAUUUAGCUCAGUGGAAGAGCACUUGCCUAGCAAGCGCAAGGCUCUGGGUUUGGUGCUCAGCUCUGAAAAGAAAGAAAGGAAGGAAGGAAGGAAGGAAGGAAGGAAGGAAGGAAAGAAGGAAGGAAGAAAGGAAGGAAGGAGGAAGAAAAAGAAUUUUUAAAAGACAAGCGGAUCCACUGAUACACCAUUACCAAACCAAGACUCCAAGAAGAAAAUCCUUAAACAAGGAAGAAAACGUCUCGUUAUCUCCACGCCAGGGGCUAUAGUGGGGA
ensembl:lncRNA